rnacentral:rRNA from 1 species
AACGAACGCUGGCGGCAGGCUUAACACGUGCAAGUCGAACGCACCGCAAGGGGAGUGGCAGACGGGUGAGUAACACGUGGGGAUCUGCCCAAUGGUACGGAAUAAUUCCGGGAAACUGGGACUAAUACCGUAUGUGCCCGCAAGGGGAAAGAUUUAUCGCCAUUGGAUGAACCCGCGUGGGAUUAGCUAGUUGGUGAGGUAAAGGCUCACCAAGGCGACGAUCCGUAGCUGGUCUGAGAGGAUGAUCAGCCACACUGGGACUGAGACACGGCCCAGACGGCGACGUGAGGCAGCAGGGGGGAAUAUUGGACAAUGGGCGCAAGCCUGAUCCAGCCAUGCCGCGUGAGUGAUGAAGGCCUUAGGGUUGUAAAGCUCUUUCGCCGACGAAGAUAAUGACGGUAGUCGGAGAAGAAGCCCCGGCUAACUUCGUGCCAGCCGCCGCAGUAAGAC